rnacentral:rRNA from 1 species
CUACGGGGCGCACCAGUGGGGAAUAUUGCACAAUGGAGGAAACUCUGAUGCAGCAACGCCGCGUGGAGGAUGACACUUUUCGGAGCGUAAACUCCUUUUAUAUAGGAAGAAGAUGACGGUACUAUAUGAAUAAGCGCCGGCUAACUCCGUGCCAGCAGCCGCGGUAAUACGGAGGGCGCAAGCGUUACUCGGAAUCACUGGGCGUAAAGGACGCGUAGGCGGGAUAUCAAGUCAGGUGUGAAAUCCUAUAGCUUAACUAUAGAACUGCUUCUGAAACUCUUAAUCUAGAAUAUGGGAGAGGUAGAUGGAAUUUCUGGUGUAGGGGUAAAAUCCGUAGAGAUCAGAAGGAAUACCGAUUGCGAAGGCGAUCUACUAGAACAUUAUUGACGCUGAGACGCGAAAGCGUGGGGAGCAAACAGGAUUAGAUACCCCUGUAGUC